AGAGUUUGAUCAUGGCUCAGAGUGAACGCUGGCGGCAGGCCUAAUACAUGCAAGUCGAACGGCAGCACAGCAGAGCUUGCUCUGUGGGUGGCGAGUGGCGGACGGGUGAGGAAUACAUGGGAAUCUGCCCAGUCGUGGGGGAUAACGUAGGGAAACUUACGCUAAUACCGCAUGCGCCCUUCGGGGGAAAGCCGGGGACCUUCGGGCCUGGCGCGAUUGGAUGAGCCCAUGUCGGAUUAGCUUGUUGGCGGGGUAACGGCCCACCAAGGCGACGAUCCGUAGCUGGUCUGAGAGGAUGAUCAGCCACACUGGAACUGAGACACGGUCCAGACUCCUACGGGAGGCAGCAGUAGGGAAUAUUGGACAAUGGGCGCAAGCCUGAUCCAGCCAUGCCGCGUGAGUGAAGAAGGCCCUCGGGUUGUAAAGCUCUUUUGUCCGGAAAGAAAAGCGUUGGGCUAAUACCCCGGCGUCCUGACGGUACCGGAAGAAUAAGCACCGGCUAACUUCGUGCCAGCAGCCGCGGUAAUACGAAGGGUGCAAGCGUUACUCGGAAUUACUGGGCGUAAAGCGUGCGUAGGUGGUUCGUUAAGUCUGAUGUGAAAGCCCUGGGCUCAACCUGGGAAUGGCAUUGGAUACUGGCGGGCUAGAGUGCGGUAGAGGGCAGUGGAAUUCCCGGUGUAGCAGUGAAAUGCGUAGAGAU
rnacentral:rRNA from 1 species